rnacentral:tRNA from 1 species
CAGGGAGACAACAAAAUGUUUAAUAUUAAUUUUGUCACCUUAGGUCGAUCGGUAUCUCACAUUCUUAAUUUAUUUAAGGAUUUUAUUUCCUAAGUUUUUUCUAGGUCACACCCAUUAUUUUUCCUGGGCCAUUAGCUCAGGUGGUUAGAGCGCACCCCUGAUAAGGGUGAGGUCCCUGGUUCAAGUCCAGGAUGGCCCAUAUCUCUAUGUUGGGGGUAUAGCUCAGUUGGUAGAGCGCCUGCUUUGCAAGCAGGAUGUCAGCGGUUCGAGUCCGCUUACCUCCACUGAUUACCACCUCUUCCAUAAAUUUAUUGAAGGGAAAUUUUUUAGGUGUGAUCAAAUUCUGAACGAAUCUAGCUUCCUAACCAAACUUAUUAAGAUGCUGGACUCAUUGAAUUAUUUUCAUUGUUUUCAGAGAACCUUGACAACUGCAUAGAUUAUUUUUAAAGACAAUAAGCAUCUUUAAUGAUGCAGAUUUAUUAUUUGUGCGAAUGCAUUAAAUAACAAUUCUAUUAAGCUGAUGCUUCAAUUUUUUGAAGUUAUU